rnacentral:lncRNA from 1 species
AGCCGCGUGACCAUUGGUUUCCCAGGUUUCACUGCUUACUAGGAGCAAAACGUAACAGGCCCUCGCAGACCUGCGUGGACACGUCUUUCCAGAGCACGAGUAGGGGGAGAGGGAGAGAGAGACAAUCAAGCCGGCUCCAUGCUCAGUACGGAGCCCGACACGGGGCUCGAUCCCACAAGCCCAGGAUCGAUCGUGACCUGAGCCAGAUCAGGAGCUGGACUCUCAACCCACCCAGCCAACCAGGUGCCCCUUACCCUACAUGGUCUUAGGUGACGGCUUCUU